rnacentral:ncRNA from 1 species
CUUUUUUAUCAGAUUUUCCAGACGUUUUUCAUGCAACUGCUCAUUUCAAAGAAUUAACUGUACAUUUUAUUCAUACUCUCCAUAUCCAUAAAAAUACACAUACAUUGCAUUUAAUUUCAUUUAUUUUUUUAAAAAGUAUAUUCUUCAGGCCGAUCACACGCCCCCAUGGUGGUGAUGACCCACUUGAAUGUCUACCCUAUCAACUUUCCAUGGUAGUCGCCAUGUGUUGAGAGCCACAGCCAAGGGGCCCCAGCAAACUUCCAGCUGCCAGCUGAUGAUUGGCUCACAGCAGCCGCAGCAACUUCUAGCUGAUUGGCUCCUCUGCGGUGAUGCUUAUUGGGCUGUUUCCCCGCCCUUUCAGACUACGGAGCUGCUCAUUGGGGGACUUUUUUUGGCUCUGCCCACACGACCCAGCCAAUCGGCCUCAAGAGCAGGAGGAGUGGGGGAGGUUGAGAGGCUUGUGAGAAGUGGGUGGUGGCAGUUGGGCUCUGAGGGUUUUUCCUGAGGAGCUGUGUGCUGCGGAGUGUGGUUCUAAAAAUAAAGUUUGUUUCCUUUGACAAGUGGCUCCUGAAUUGUGCCCAGCUAGACUGCGGCAGCCAUGCCUACCAUGAUGACCACAGGUGACGAAGAAUCAGGGUUCGAUUUUGGAGUGGGAGCCUGAGAAACGGCUACCACAUCCAAGUAAGGCAGCAGGUGCACAAAUUACCCACUCCCAACCUGAGGAGGUAGUGACAAAAAAUAACAAUACAGGACUCUUUCUAAAGAGUAUAUUCUUUUUUAUGUACAUUUUUUUUAUGUGUGCUGAGGAUCAAACCCAGGGCUUCGCAUAUGUGAG